ensembl:lncRNA
UCUCUGGAACUCUGGCUGCUUCUCUCUGGAACUCUGGCUGCUUCUCUCUGGAACUCUGGCUGCUUCUCUCUGGAACUCUGGCUGCUUCUCUCUGGAACUCUGGCUGCUUCUCUCUGGAACUCUGGCUGCUUCUCUCUGGAAGGAACUCUGGCUGCUUCUCUCUGGAACUGCUACCAGCUACCUAUUCUGCCCCACAACCCCAGCUACCUAUUCUGCCCCACAUCCCCAGCUACCUGCUAAACUACAGUACCUGUAGCUAUUCUAUCAACUACUCUGCUACAGUGACUACUCUGCCCCCUCCCUCUCGCAUCCUCAGAGUCUACUCAGUACGCUAUAGAGACUAUAUAGACUAACUCUUAUUCUCUGAUGCCUUGUGACUUUUAAGAAUGUCCUUAAAAGCAGCCAUUUUAUUUUCAGUUAGCGUGUGUUUCUGAGGGAAUGGUUUUCAGUUAGCGUGUGUUUCUGAGGGAAUGGUUUUCAGUUAGCGUGUGUUUCUGAGGGAAUGGUUUUCAGUUAGCGUGUGUUUCUGAGGGAAUGGUUUUCAGUUAGCGUGUGUUUCUGAGGGAAUGGUUUUCAGUUAGCGUGUGUUUCUGAGGGAAUGGUUUUCAGUUAGCGUGUGUUUCUGAGGGAAUGGUUUUCAGUUAGCGUGUGUUUCUGAGGGAAUGGUUUUCAGUUAGCGUGGGUUUCUGAGGGAAUGGUUUUCAGUUAGCGUGGGUUUCUGAGGGAAUGGUUUUCAGUUAGCGUGGGUUUCUGAGGGAAUGGUUUUCAGUUGGCGUGUGUUUCUGAGGGAAUGGUUUUCAGUUGGCGUGUGUUUCUGAGGGAAUGGUUUUCAGUUAGCGUGUGUUUCUGAGGGAAUGGUUUUCAGUUAGCGUGUGUUUCUGAGGGAAUGGUUUUCAGUUGGCGUGUGUUUCUGAGGGAAUGGUUUUCAGUUAGCGUGUGUUUCUGAGGGAAUGGUUUUCAGUUAGCGUGUGUUUCUGAGGGAAUGGUUUUCAGUUGGCGUGUGUUUCUGAGGGAAUGGUUUUCAGUUAGCGUGUGUUUCUGAGGGAAUGGUUUUCAGUUAGCGUGUGUUUCUGAGGGAAUGGUUUUCAGUUGGCGUGUGUUUCUGAGGGAAUGGUUUUCAUUUAGCGUGUGUUUCUGAGGGAAUGGUUUUCAGUUGGCGUGUGUUUCUGAGGGAAUGGUUUUCAUGUUUUCAGUUGGUGUGUGUUUCUGAGGGAAUGGUUUUCAUGUUUUCAGUUGGUGUGUGUUUCUGAGGGAAUGGGUUAAAAAAACAGACAAACAUAACGACUCCAUUUCUAGCAUGGUCCAUUUGCACAAACACAUUUUUCAGAUCCGCUACAGCGAUAUAACCUCUUCUGAAAACUCUUUUUUUUUUUGUUGAUCAACCUGUAUUUGGAUGUAGAUUCACAGUUUCAAAAUGUGUCUUUUUAGUGAUUGAUACAAUAUAUUCAUUCAUUUUUGGGAAAAACCUGAAAGAAAAAUGUCAGCAGCUCAGCCCAUGUUUCCUUAUUGGUGAAAUGAAAUGGUUCUGUCUUUAUCAUGAGUGUACGUCAGAUUGGAAUGAAAGUUAAGAUAUGGGGAUGAAUCCCAAAAUGGCACCCUAUUCCAUUUUAUAGUGCACUACUAUAUAGCCCUAUAGGGUUCUGGUGAAAAGUAGUGCACUAUAUAGGGAAUAGGGUGCCAUCUUGGGAUGCAUGCAUUAUAUAUGUCGCAGUUGUAUCCUCGCAACAUUGUAAAUAAAUACGUGCAGCAUCAACCGACCGUUCAUCUGUUUAUUGAAGGAGAUGUAGCUAGCUAUACUCAACCGACCGUUCAUCUGGUUAUUGAAG